GGGAAGGUGGCAGAGAGGUCGAUUGCAUCGGUUUUGAAAACCGGCGUAAUUUAAUUAUUACCGAGGGUUCGAAUCCCUCCUUUCCCA
rnacentral:tRNA from 1 species